rnacentral:snoRNA from 1 species
AAGAUUAUACUUUCAGGGAUCAUUUCUAUAGUUUGUUACUAAAAAUAUUAAUAGAUUUUAUUUUUCAGAGUGG